AGAGGCCAAGAAGGAGAGGGAAAGCAAAAGCCCCCCGCCAUCCUCUUCCUUUUUCCCCAGUAAUGUCGGCAAACAACUGGAGCACACCCAGGAAGAGCUGGAGAACUAUCUGGACAGGCUAACCCAUGUCUUGUUUGACACAGAAACCAGGAAAAGGGAUGGCCACCAUGAUCAGAAGUCCCACCAUCACCAUCACAGAAGUGCUGAUGUUAUGUCUGAAACUAAGGAGCAUUCAGGAAAGGAGGCAGCGCGCUCUCAGUAUCUGUCAGGCUACACAAGGGUUCAGGCCUGAAACAGCCGUUCAGCCUGAGACCGAUACUACUUAAAGCAGUAGCCGCUCCAGCUUCCACGGUGUGUGGCGGCAGCUUGCAGAACUAGUGUCAUCGCAGCCUUCCCGGAGGAGACCUGGAGUG